UGUUUAGCAGAGAUACUGAAACGCAGAUA
rnacentral:piRNA from 1 species